AGGACGGGAACUGCGGGGCCCUCGCCCGCCCCUCUGCUUCCCGCCCGCUCUCUCGGUGCCGCCUCAGCGCGUCCCCCUGCCCUUGCGGAAGUCAUUAAAACAUGAAACUUAAAGAGAACUAUCAUCAUUGUCUUCAAAUUUAAGAUCUGCAAAAAGUAAAUGAAGCACAUCUUUGAUAAAUUAUUUGGGGUAAAUGAAAAUCUGUAUGUGGCUUCACCCACAGCCAUCAGAUGCCCAGCACAUGGAGUGCAGUUGUGAUUUUUAAGGUGCCACAGCACUUGACUUGGUGCUAGGAAUCUGAACUCUGCUCCCCAUGAAUGUAUUUGUGUUCCUACCAGACUCUGGCGGAGGUCAAGAUGACCUCAAAGUUGGAAUUCAUCUGCCUCAGCCUCCCAAGUGAAGCAUGAAUUGAUGACUUGCCUCUGAAACCCUAAGUGAAGAAUGAUGACCGGGCCAGCCAAGUAUCCGCCAGGCCAUCCAGGGCACUGACAAUCAUGAAGAAGUGCAAAUGCUGACUGCUACCUGGCUGCAGAGGAAUCAAAGCCCUUAGCUUUCUGGCCUCUCUCCAUUCCGGCAAGGUUCUUUCUCUCUCCACCCAGUCACAGUCAUCAUUUAAAGAAGCCACUUCCUGUGUUUACAAAAGGUGCAUUUGGGUUAUCUCUACUUGAAUACCUGUUUUCACAUCUUCAAGCAAGAGGAAUUUUAUUGUUCCAGCAUGCUGGGGUUGCCCUGUACAUGAAGGAGAGAGAACGACCCUACGCAGCCCGUUCGGCGAGUUUUAUACAGUUUUCAGAGCAGCAGCCAUUAGGCACAAUGUGGUUGGCAGAACAGUGUGACCUUUAAGCUGAUUGGUCUUAGGGAAUGAGGUGGCAAGGACUUCCCUUGUCUGUAGGUGGCGAACAGUCUCGGAAUGUGUCUAUGUGCUCUGGGCCUCCCCCAGCCACAGGUGGCCGAUGGUCGGUUCCUCACCCUUCUGGAGGGGAGGGGCGCCUAUGUGCUCAAUGACCUUUCUCUAGGGGAGGGGUCUGGUGGAAUUUUCCAAAGUUCCUGAGCUGACCUCUUCAGUGUAAACAGACCUAGUAUUGCCCUGUGUUGCAGCGACCCUGUACACACAGAUCUGGCUACCGACAGUCAUAUUAAACAUGGCACAUAACAAUACACAGCACUUGACUGUUGUGUGUAAUUUUAUAAAACCACGCUUGCUCCUUGCCCGGUGCUGUGCCCCCCCCCCCUCUAUGCUAUGAGAUCAGCCGCUGCCAACAGCCGUCUCACCCAACCCCCAUGGCUAGCUUUGCCAAACUGCUCCAUUUUCACCAGCUCUGCCAAGCCACCAGCUCUGCCACUUUCCCAUGGACUCUGGGAGCUGCGAUCCCUCUUCACUGGCCAACCACCCCGAGGCUAGCUCUGCCAAACCUCUAACAACCACCCAGGCUGUGCCCUUUCUCCUGCCCACCUGAGUCACCACAGAUGGAAAACACUAGACAGCCUUAAUAUUUUAAAACCAGCCAGAUAACUCAACUGCUGGGUGCAGAGUCUGUUGCUCUAAAUGCAUCGGUUAUCCUAUCUGGGAAUUCCACUGAUGGCCGAGGCUGCCACUGGCUCUGGUGCUCCCCUCUCCAAAGCCUGGCUGCAAAGCCCUUUCUCUAUCUCUUUCCCUCCUCUUCCUCCUGGGACCCAGAAAUCCCACCUUUUUUCCUCCGUCCAACGAUUAGCUUCUGCUGUCUUCAUUGACAUAAUCAAGAAACAUUUAGUGAAAUUCCAGCACUUGGGAGGCAGAGGCUGGCCUCGAACUCAGAAAUCUGCCUGCCUCUGCCUCCCAAGUGCUGGGAUUAAAGGUGUGCGCCACCACUGCCCGACACUAUGCCAUGCUUUUGUUGUUAUUUUGAGAUGUAUGAAUGUUAGCUGAAUAUUGUUACUGGUUUAUGUAUCUAUUAUUCUAUACUUUUUUCUCACUCAGCUAUACUAAUUUAAGACGUUUAUUCUCAAACAGGAUGCUGUGUCUUGCAGCAUCCUCCUAGCCUGCAUUUGGUGUUCCUCGUAAUGGCAACAGGGGCCACGAGGAGUGACCAGCAUACAUGAUCAAUGUAUGUAAAUGCAGCCUGGAGAAUGCAUAACAAGGGAACUGCCCUGGUAUAUGCUUCACGGCUGCCCGUGAUUAAGUCAUACAUGACUAGCUGACAGAAUGAGUCCUGGACAGGUCAGAGGAGGGAGCACUCCCAGAACCCGGGAAGGGGAGCACUCCCAGAACCCGGGAAGGGGAGCACUCCCAGAACCCAGGAAGGGGAGCAGUAGCCAGCUGCUAGUCUGACAGAAGCCCAUGACCAUCUGCCAGAAAGGAACAGCAUUCCCAGGCACUGGUGCUGCUCCUGCAGCCUCCUCCCCUCCUUCUCCCAACUCCUCCUAGCACCUCCUUCCACUUGAUACCAAUUGGAAGGGAAUCUGUUUGUAUAGACCCUGUGAGUCAGCCUUCCAAGGCUCACAGUGGGAUGAGAAACUCCCCCUCGGAGCUGGGGAGAUGCUCAGUGAAUCUGAGCACCUGCGUAAAAGUCAGACAUGGCUACAUGUGCCUAUAACCCCUGGGGACACAGAAAGACAGAUCCCAAGUCUUAGGUUCUGUGAGAGAAUCUGCUCCCAAUAACCAGCAGGCAGGUAGUCUCAGCGUGACGUCCGAGCUGUAGAUGAGGCAGCGGACACACAGCUUGACAGUUUCCAUACAGACAGCAUCUGAAAUGGGGGUCCUUGGGGUUUCCAUCAGGAAGCAAAUCACCACGUCUAAUCAGCACUUAACAGUGUGCAAACAGCACUUAACAGGGUGCAAACAGCACUUCCAAACCAAGUAAAAGCUGCCAAGCGAUUUGUUCUCUUACGCAGUUUAUGCUUUCUCUGGUGCUAUUCGCUCAGCAAACAAAGAUAACACAGUGAUAACACUUGCUUUGCACUGUUCUGAAUUCAUUAUCUUCUUGAUCCAACUGAAUCUCAAGGAUACAAUUGAAUUAAAAGUCUUGUUUGCUUUUGGCAUGUCAAGUAACCUAUGAAAUGAUUUGAAACAAGUAAAUUUGUUUGUUUUCAUUCACUGAAGAUACCGUAACAGAAUACCUCACAUGGAAAUACUUAAAAAAAAAAUGUUCUCCCAUGGUUUUGGAGACCAGAAGUCCAGGAUCAAGAGAAAGGCUGCCCCUUCCCUCUGAAGGUGCAGACGAUAAUGAGCUCCUUUGGCCUGAGGUGAUACCCCUGGCUUGGAGCAGCAUGACUCCAAUCUGUACACAGCUCUCUGUAUGCUUGUUAUCUCAUCUUUUAUAGGAACUCCAGUCAUAGUGAAUUGUGGCCUGUGACGGCAAAUUCAUGGACCAGCUGGACUCCAUUUAAGAUUAAAAGCCAUCUUGUUACAAGUUCAUUUCUGUUUUCUGUAGAAUUUGGAUUUGAAUAGGUCUUGACCCAUAUUCUGGAGUUUGACAUGCUCCACACCCCAUACCCUGACCUCCACCCUGAUAAGAUGUUCUGUCAAAUAACUUUGAAAUGUUCUGCCGCGGUUCUAUGUAACCCCCAAACCUUGAAAAACUCCCUAACAUUGCAGUUUGGGGGACUAUAUCAGCUCCACUUUUUCCUAUGCUCAAUGUUAUUUUUCUCAAACCCCACUUUAGGGAGAUAGGCCUGUCUGACAGAAAAUAAAACUGUGUUUAUCUUGGCCCAAG
rnacentral:lncRNA from 1 species